rnacentral:rRNA from 1 species
AAAUUGAAGAGUUUGAUCAUGGCUCAGAUUGAACGCUGGCGGCAGGCCUAACACAUGCAAGUCGAACGGUAACAGGAAGCAGCUUGCUGCUUCGCUGACGAGUGGCGGACGGGUGAGUAAUGUCUGGGAAACUGCCUGAUGGAGGGGGAUAACUACUGGAAACGGUGGCUAAUACCGCAUAACGUCGCAAGACCAAAGAGGGGGACCUUCGGGCCUCUUGCCAUCAGAUGUGCCCAGAUGGGAUUAGCUGGUUGGUGAGGUAACGGCUCACCAAGGCGACGAUCCCUAGCUGGUCUGAGAGGAUGACCAGCCACACUGGAACUGAGACACGGUCCAGACUCCUACGGGAGGCAGCAGUGGGGAAUAUUGCACAAUGGGCGCAAGCCUGAUGCAGCCAUGCCGCGUGUAUGAAGAAGGCCUUCGGGUUGUAAAGUACUUUCAGCGGGGAGGAAGGUGUUGUGGUUAAUAACUGCAGCAAUUGACGUUACCCGCAGAAGAAGCACCGGCUAACUCCGUGCCAGCAGCCGCGGUAAUACGGAGGGUGCAAGCGUUAAUCGGAAUUACUGGGCGUAAAGCGCACGCAGGCGGUCUGUCAAGUCGGAUGUGAAAUCCCCGGGCUCAACCUGGGAA